AGAGAUAAGCACUAAUGGGGUGCGAGCUAGCUUGAAACUAGCGGGGGGAGGUUCGAGUCCUUCGUCUCUUG
rnacentral:tRNA from 1 species